UACGUAGGGUGCGAGCGUUGUCCGGAAUUAUUGGGCGUAAAGGGUGCGUAGGUGGCGCUGUAAGUCGGGUGUGAAAUUUCGGAGCUUAACUCCGAAACUGCAUUCGAUACUGCGGUGCUUGAGGACUGGAGAGGAGACUGGAAUUCAUGGUGUAGCAGUGAAAUGCGUAGAGAUCAUGAGGAAGACCAGUGGCGAAGACGGGUCUCUGGACAGUUCCUGACACUGAGGCACGAAGGCCAGGGGAGCAAACGGG
rnacentral:rRNA from 1 species